ensembl:piRNA 21ur-5737 ncRNA
UUAUGCGUCCCUAAAAACUGA